CUGCUAGGCUCGUGUCACAUAGAUCAAGCUACGAAGCUAGCUGAGGGGCAGGAGAUGAGCUGGUUAACACCUGACAAACACAUAUUUACCAGUUUCCAUUAUAACUCCCUGUACGUCUUUAUGUAUGUUGUUUGCUUUCUUGCAAAGGAUUUUCCUAGAAAUGGUAUAACCAAGCAUUUGUAAAAGUCUGUGGAGAUCGCAUAUUAACUUCUUGGCUUUGAACAUAGUACAUGAAAAGGGAGAGGCACGACUUGAGAGCAGCAGGAAAGCCUAAGAAGAUUUUAUGCAGGGGUGUCUCUGACAGCGACUUUACAGCUUUCUUUUUCCACCUCUUGUUUGCCAGAGCUUCCCCGCGACUGAAAUGAUUAGCCAAGCCGGUUGUGUUUUUGUGUGCGCUGCUGCUUUGGGAGCUGUAUUGCAGGGAGUGGUGGACGGAGAUAACGUAGCCUUGUGGCUGGAACUGACGACCACAGCGUCUGCUGCUGUGGCCUGUUCCACCUCAGGGAGGAAAAGGGAGGGAGACAAGGGCUGACUCUGCUGGCUGCUUGCUAGGGAAAUGCCACAGCCCAUGGUUACAUCGAUUCCAAAGGGAAGUGAAAUGGCAUGUUCACUGCGGAGCCAGUCGGCCUACUGUAGCGGUGUGUUCAGCAACAUGGAGCCACGUCUCCAUGUGGUGAGAGCAAACAUGCUUUGUUUGUUUCCAUAAUCUGCUUGUCGAUCACCUGAGGCCCAGUGAGCAGCCCGGCCUGCAGUGCAAGAGAGGCAGGAAGCCGGGGCUGGGGACAAAGCAGCGCACCAAGCCUAGCCUGCCACCAGGAAGAGCCAGUUUCCCUCACAAGACUGUGUAUUACAAGUCCCACCUCACUGAAUAGCAAGAGGACUGCGCGAUGCGAUGAAGUGUCAAACAACUGUCCCUUCAACAUGCAUCAUUUAACCUACAUCAGUCUUUCUGAAACAUUCAGUACCAGCAGUACAGUAAUAUCACAGCAUAUAUAAUACAUAAUAAUUGUUAUGAGGAUUAAGCACUGUUUGAUAGAUCUCCUCCUCUGGGGCAAUUAUUGUAAAUGCAAACAUUGAUUAUAUGAUUCCACAUCUAACAAACACAAUCACUGGCUUGUAGUUGCCAUAUUCCCUUGGGGUUCACCUGCAGUACGUUAUGUGUGAGUUUCUACGUGUCUAUAAUGAUAUUGGAAGAGGAUCAAAAAUAAAAUCUGAAUUUUUGACACAGUCAUUCUCUCUGGCCCAUACUGAAGAUCACAUGCUACAAUAACCAGGCACAGGGAAACCAAAACAAAACAAUAUGAAACCUGAGAACUUGAACAUGUGGACCUUUAGUCAACGUUGCUUUGACACUUAUAUUCCAGCUGGUUAAUAUAUUGACAUUAUUAUGGGUUCAUACACUGGCUCUGGGGAGCAGGGGUCUGGCUCUGUGUAUUACAUGCAGGGCUGCGUCAUUAGGGCUCUGGACAGAUCUGGUAUCACUUCAAACACUCAUGUGUCUCCUCCACUGCGCACAGG